CGGUUGCUCCUGUGACGCUUUCCCGGGGUCCUGUGCCGCCCUAGCUAGACAGCUGUUGCCGCUCUUUGUAAGCGUGCAGUGGGGCGCUUCCUGCCCUGGUGCCGCUCCCAGCUGCUUCCAGGCACCGCCUUCAGGUUCCUCCGGCCCGAACAAACACAACGCUUCCCCCGCUGCCAAAGUCCUUUGGAGAGGCGGGGAGGCUACCUCGUGAUUCCCCGCCGCCAGCACUGAGAGUUGUUGUGUAAAUACAGAAUCAAAACUUCGGUAGAGGGCGAACGAACCCAUCGGGGGUGCCCUGCUAACGUUCAGGCCUGGAACAGGCAAGAUGAUCGAACAGUAAGAGCGUUUCUGAGCACGCGAAGAGUGCAGAUCAUCUUCCAGAUCUGGGAGCGCGGGGCUCCCGGAGACUUUCUUGAUGAUGGGAGUUGCUGAUGGGCCCGUGUUGUGUAUAGCUGAAGUGAGCUAUAUCCCCAGCACCACCUUCUGGGAGAGGCCCUCAAGGAUCCAGCAUUUGCCCUUUGUUCCAGCUAACAAUAUAUCAGAAAAGUAGCAGCAACGACAACAACAGCAACAAAUAUUUAUAUACUGCUUUUCAACAAACGUUUCCAAAGUGGUUUACAUAGAGAAAUAACAAAUUAACAAAGAUGGAUCCCUGUCCCCAAAGGACUCAUAAUCUAAAAGGAAACACAAGAUAGACACCAGCAACAGUCACUGGAAGUACUGUGCUGGGUGUGGAUAAGGCCAGUUACUCUCCCCCUGCUAAAUAAAUGAGAAUCACUGUGUUAAAAAGGUGCCUCUUUGCCCAGUUAGCAGGGGGUAACUGGUACUUCAAUAGAAGACUAAUAACUUAUUUAUUGGGAAGCUUCAUUGGAGUGAGACUUCUGAGUAAACACGCACAGGCUUGUGCUGUUAAAUUACCAUGCUGUCCAACUGGGUGUUUUGCUUUCAGUUGUUUCUAAUAUAAUCCUGAGAUUCUCAGCUUUACCCUUAAAUAUUAUGAUAAAGGGAGUAUAUAUCUAAAAUAUAUCCAUGUAUUAAGAUAUGUCUGUUUUCAGAAAAAUGUUAACGUUGGAGAAAGAUCUAGGAAGAAGAAUCCAUGGAAUGGUUUGGAAUGCUUAUGAGAGGGUAACAGGGGUGUAGCUCUAAUUGAAUGGAUGGGUUCAAAGAACCUGGGGGCCCCAGCUCCACCCUUCCCUGUUUUCUUCAUUAUCUCCCUCUCUCUGAGGGGCUGCUGGGGAGAGGGGAGAACACAGGCCCCCUACCCCUAGCUACUCCCCUAGAGGGAAGUUCUAAGUUUUCUGUGUUUAAACUUAAGAGGAAAAAAUAUUCUAAACUUAUGAUGUAACAGUACAUGUUUCUCUGAAAAAAACAUGAAAAUAUAACAUUAAUAAAACUAAUAUUGGCAA